AUUGAACGCUGGCGGCAUGCCUUACACAUGCAAGUCGAACGGCAGCGGGGGAGAAGCUUGCUUUUCCUGCCGGCGAGUGGCGAACGGGUGAGUAAUACAUCGGAACGUGCCCUGUAGUGGGGGAUAACUAGUCGAAAGAUUAGCUAAUACCGCAUACGACCUGAGGGUGAAAGUGGGGGACCGCAAGGCCUCAUGCUAUAGGAGCGGCCGAUGUCUGAUUAGCUAGUUGGUGGGGUAAAGGCCUACCAAGGCGACGAUCAGUAGCUGGUCUGGGAGGACGAUAAGCCACACUGGGACUGGGACACGGCCCAGACUCCUACGGGAGGCAGCAGUGGGGAAUUUUGGACAAUGGGCGAAAGCCUGAUCCAGCAAUGCCGCGUGUGUGAAGAAGGCCUUCGGGUUGUAAAGCACUUUUGUCCGGAAAGAAAUGGCUCUGGUUAAUACCUGGGGUCGAUGACGGUACCGGAAGAAUGAGGACCGGCUAACUACGUGCCAGCAGCCGCCGUAA
rnacentral:rRNA from 1 species